GAAAUGCGAUAAGUAAUGUGAAUUGCAGAAUUCAGUGAAUCAUCGAAUCUUUGAACGCACAUUGCGCCCUCUGGUAUUCCGGGGGGCAUGCCCGUUCGAGCGUCAUUACACCACUCAAGCCUCGCUUGGUAUUGGGCGUCGCGACAUCGCGUGCCUCUAAUUUCUCGGCUGGACGGUCUGAAUCUCAGCGUUGUGGAUUAUUCAAUUCGCUGGCGAGGACGACCGGACGCGCCGUUAAACCCUUCUUUACAGGUUGACCUCGGAUCGGGUAGGGAUACCCGCUGAACUUAA
rnacentral:misc_RNA from 1 species